rnacentral:rRNA from 1 species
CAGUAGCCGCGGUAAUACGUAGGUGGCGAGCGUUGUCCGGAUUUAUUGGGCGUAAAGGGAGUGUAGGCGGUCUUUUAAGUCUGAUGUGAAAGCCCACGGCUCAACCGUGGAGGGUCAUUGGAAACUGGGAGACUUGAGUGCAGAAGAGGAGAGCGGAAUUCCAUGUGUAGCGGUGAAAUGCGUAGAUAUAUGGAGGAACACCAGUGGCGAAGGCGGCUCUCUGGUCUGUAACUGACGCUGAGGCUCGAAAGCGUGGGGAGCAAACAGGAUUAGAUACCCGUGUAGUCCCUGUCUCUUAUAC